rnacentral:rRNA from 1 species
UUCAUAAUAACUUAACGAAUCGCAUGGCCUUGCGCCGGCGAUGGUUCAUUCAAAUUUCUGCCCUAUCAACUUUCGAUGGUAAGAUAGUGGCUUACCAUGGUCUCAACGGGUAACGGGGAAUUAGGGUUCUAUUCCGGAGAGGGAGCCUGAGAAACGGCUACCACAUCCAAGGAAGGCAGCAGGCGCGCAAAUUACCCAAUCCCAAUUCGGGGAGGUAGUGACAAUAAAUACUGAUACAGGGCUCUUUUGGGUCUUGUAAUUGGAAUGAGUACAAUCUAAAUCCCUUAACGAGGAACAAUUGGAGGGCAAGUCUGGUGCCAGCAGCCGCGGUAAUUCCAGCUCCAAUAGCGUAUAUUAAAGUUGUUGCCGUUAAAAAGCUCGUAGUUGAACCUUGGGCCUGGCUGAUCUGUCCUCCUAAUCGAGCGCACGGAUUCGGUCGGGCCUUUCCUUCUGGGGAGCCCGAUGCCCUUCACUGGGCGUCGUGGGGAACCAGGACUUUUACCUUGAAAAAAUUAGAGUGUUCAAAGCAGGCCUUUGCUCGAAUACAUUAGCAUGGAAUAAUAGAAUAGGACAGAGGUUCUAUUUUGUUGGUUUCUAGGACCGCUGUAAUGAUUAAUAGGGAUAGUCGGGGGCGUCCGUAUUCAAUUGUCAGAGGUGAAAUUCUUGGAUUUAUUGAAGACGAACUACUGCGAAAGCAUUCGCCAAGGAUGUUUUCAUUAAUCAGUGAACGAAAGUUAGGGGAUCGAAGACGAUCAGAUACCGUCGUAGUCUUAACCAUAAACUAUGCCGACUAGGGAUCGGACGGUGGUUUUUUUAUGCCCCGUUCGGCACCUUACGA